UACGUAGGCAGCAAGCGUUGUUCGGAGUUACUGGGCGUAAAGAGUGCGUAGGUGGUGCCCUAAGUCUGUUGUGAAAUCUCCCGGCUUAACUGGGAGGGUGCGGUGGAAACUGGGGUGCUUGAGUGUGGGAGAGGUAAGCGGAAUUCCUGGUGUAGCGGUGAAAUGCGUAGAUAUCAGGAGGAACACCGGUGGUGUAGACGGCUUACUGGACCAAGACUGACACUGAGGCACGAAAGCGUGGGUAGCAAACAGG
rnacentral:rRNA from 1 species